CCCCCAUCCCGGCGGGAGCCUCGCCUCUUCCUGCCACUCCAGUACAGCUCCCGUCUCCGCCUUUGGCACCGCAUUGCUUCUACUGUCCUGCUCUUAGCUGUAUUUUAGGCGGACGUGGAAACAAAGACCCAUAGUUGGACUUUUAUUUUGGGUUCUGUGGCCCACAAGCACUGAGGAAUAGGCUUGGCAGUGGAAGCAGGCACGGGAGACGCAGUGCGCUUCGCGGAAGCUGUCCCGCCCCCUGGCUCAACGUCGGCUCCCACGCACUACAAUUCCCAGCAUGCCAUUCGAGCAAGAGCGGAGGCGGAACCGGAGUGUCGUCAUAGCAACUGAAUCAACUACCUCGCGGAGACUUCUCAAGGACCUCGUAGCAAGAAGGAAGACACGAGCCUGGAGAUGCCAGAGGCUGCCGCAUGAAUCUUAAGAAUGAAGCUGACACAGCAGAAGGCUGAGCCAAGAAACUAAGAGAAAUUGAAUUUUUAUUACAUUUUUGGAGCUCCUGGAUGAAGCCACUCAUGACACUAAACAGCCCCAAGGCUUUUCCACUACGUGAAUAAAUAAAUCUUCUUUCCUAUUUAA